rnacentral:rRNA from 1 species
GUCUACAGCGGUGCCACCCUGAACAAGCCAGAUCCUGUCUGAUCUCAGAAGCUAAGCAGGGUGGAGCCUGGUUAGUACUUGGAUGAGAGACCACCUAGGAAGACCAGGUGCUGUAGGUG